GACGAACGCUGGCGGCGUGCUUAACACAUGCAAGUCGAACGGAAAGGCCCUGCCUUUGUGGGGUGCUCGAGUGGCGAACGGGGGAGUAACACGUGAGUACCCAGCACUUGACUUUGGGAUAACUUCAGGAAACUGGGGCUAAUACCGGAUAGGAGCUACUGCUGCAUGGUGGGGGUUGGAAAGAUUAGGCGGUUGGGGAUGGACUCGCGGACUAAUAGCAAGAUGGUGGGGUAGUGGCUUACCAAGGCUUAGCUCCAUAGCAGGGAGGAGAGGAUGAUCAGCCAAAAUGGGAAUAAGACACGGCCCAGACUCAUACGAGAGGCAGCGGUGGGGAGUAGUGGACGAUGGGCGGAAGCAUGAUCCAGCAAUGUCGCGUGAGUGAUGAAGGGUUUAGGGUUGUAAAGCUGUCUUACCCGGGAUGAUAAUGACAGUACCGGGAGAAUAAGCUCCGGCUAACUCCGUG
rnacentral:rRNA from 1 species